ACACAUGCAAGUCGAGGGGCAGCAUCAUCAAAGCUUGCUUUGAUGGAUGGCGACCGGCGCACGGGUGAGUAACACGUAUCCAACCUGCCGACAACACUGGGAUAGCCUUUCGAAAGAAAGAUUAAUACCGGAUGGCAUAGUUUUCCCGCAUGGGAUAAUUAUUAAAGAAUUUCGGUUGUCGAUGGGGAUGCGUUCCAUUAGGCAGUUGGCGGGGUAACGGCCCACCAAACCUACGAUGGAUAGGGGUUCUGAGAGGAAGGUCCCCCACAUUGGAACUGAGACACGGUCUAAACUCCUACGGGAGGCAGCAGUGAGGAAUAUUGGUCAAUGGACGAGAGUCUGAACCAGCCAAGUAGCGUGAAGGAUGACUGCCCUAUGGGUUGUAAACUUCUUUUAUACGGGAAUAAAGUGAGCCACGUGUGGCUUUUUGUAUGUACCGUAUGAAUAAGGAUCGGCUAACUCCGUGCCAGCAGCCGCGGUAAUACGGAGGAUUCGAGCGUUAUCCGGAUUUAUUGGGUUUAAAGGGAGCGUAGGCGGGUUGUUAAGUCAGUUGUGAAAGUUUGCGGCUCAACCGUAAAAUUGCAGUUGAUACUGGCGACCUUGAGUGCAACAGAGGUAGGCGGAAUUCGUGGUGUAGCGGUGAAAUGCUUAGAUAUCACGAAGAACUCCGAUUGCGAAGGCAGCUUACUGGAUUGUAACUGACGCUGAUGCUCGAAAGUGUGGGUAUCAAACAGGAUUAGAUACCCUGGUAGUCCACACAGUAAACGAUGAAUACUCGCUGUUGGCGAUAUACAGUCAGCGGCCAAGCGAAAGCAUUAAGUAUUCCACCUGGGG
rnacentral:rRNA from 1 species